rnacentral:rRNA from 1 species
GGAUUAGGGAAACCGGCGCACGGGUGCGUAACGCGUAUGCAACUUGCCCUUAUCAGGAGGAUAGCCCGGGGAAACUCGGAUUAAUACUCCAUAAGAUUUUGAUUGGCAUCGAUUAAAAUUGAAAGAUUUAUUGGAUAAGGAUAGGCAUGCGUCAGAUUAGUUAGUUGGUAGUGUAACGGACUACCAAGGCGAUGAUCUGUAGGGGGCCUGAGAGGGUGAACCCCCACACUGGUACUGAGACACGGACCAGACUCCUACGGGAGGCAGCAGUGAGGAAUAUUGGACAAUGGAGGGAACUCUGAUCCAGCCAUCCCGCGUGCAGGAAGACGGCCCUAUGGGUUGUAAACUGCUUUUGUAUGGGGAUAAAUCUACUUACGUGUAGGUAGUUGAAGGUACCAUACGAAUAAGCAUCGGCUAACUCCGUGCCAGCAGCCGCGGUAAUACGGAGGAUGCAAGCGUUAUCCGGAUUCAUUGGGUUUAAAGGGUCCGUAGGCGGGCUGAUAAGUCAGUGGUGAAAUUUUGUCGCUCAACGAUAAAACUGCCAUUGAUACUGUUAGUCUUGAGUGAUAUUGAAGUAGCUGGAAUGUGUAGUGUAGCGGUGAAAUGCAUAGAUAUUACACAGAACACCGAUUGCGAAGGCAGGUUACUAAGUAUUAACUGACGCUGAAGGACGAAAGCGUGGGGAGCGAACAGGAUUAGAUACCCUGGUAGUCCACGCAGUAAACGAUCUAACUCGUUUUCGGGGAGAGAUCUUCGGAGACCCAAGCGAAA